CAUUGAAACACCGUUUUCCGUAAAAUCACCGAAGUUAAGCAAUGUCGAGCCUUGUCAGAACCUUGAUGGGACACCACUUGCGAAUGCUAGGUGCUGCAAG